GCGGGCGUGGUGAAAUUUCGGCAAACACGCCGGCUUUAGGUGCCGGUGCUCGUGAGAGCUUGAGGGUUCGAGUCCCUCCGCCCGCACCG
rnacentral:tRNA from 1 species